CAAGUCGAGGGGCAGUCAUGAAUCAAGCUUGCUUGAUUUGAUGGCGACCGGCGCACGGGUGCGUAACACGUAUCCAAUCUACCCAUGGCUCUAGGGGAUAGCCUUUUCGAAAGAAAGAUUAAUACCUGAUGGUUUCAUGAGCCCGCUAUGGACUUAUGAAUAAAGAUUUAUCGGCGAUGGAUGAGGAUGCGUCCGAUUAGCUUGUUGGCGGGUAACGGCCCACCAAGGCGACGAUCGGUAGGGGCUCUGAGAGGAGGGAUCCCCCACAUUGGAACUGAGACACGGUCCAAACUCCUACGGGAGGCAGCAGUGAGGAAUAUUGGUCAAUGGGCGAGAGCCUGAACCAGCCAAGUAGCGUGAGGGAUGACUGCCCUAUGGGUUGUAAACCUCUUUUGUUUGGGAAUAAAGUGAGCCACGCGUGGCUUUUUGUAUGUACCUUACGAAUAAGCAUCGGCUAAUUCCGUGCC
rnacentral:rRNA from 1 species